rnacentral:misc_RNA from 1 species
GAUAGGCAACUUUAUAAUCGGCAGGUGAAACCUACUCUCUGUUAAUUUGUAGCCAUUUCUCUUCAAAAAUUGCUUCUUAAUCUGGCAUAAAAAAUUGUACCAUUUAUCCAUAUUUAGUCCACUUCAUAAUCAUCUCAGCCAAUGUGAAUUGAUUUUCUACCAUUCCUAGGCAAGCAUGGAUUACUUUCUAUUGUUUCAAUGGUAUGCAUACAAAAAAUAUAUAUAUAUUUUUUAUUCAACCAAACAUUUUUUGUUAGCCCAAUAAAUCUUAAGUGCAUGACAGUGAUGUAUGAGUUUGUGAAUAUUUGGGGCAAAUUGUGAAUAUUUGGGCAAAAUAUGUGAAAGGUCUUGAGGACUAAUCCUUUGUAAUUAUGGAUUCUUCUUAUGAGCAGAUAUACCCGCCUAUUAA